rnacentral:snRNA from 1 species
AUACUUACCUGGCAGGGGAAAUAUCAUGAUUGCCAAGGCAGUUUUCCCAGGGCGAGGCUCGUCCAUUGCACUCUGGGUGUGCUGAUCUCUGUGGUUUUCCCAAAUGUGGCAAAACUGACUGCAUAAUUUUUGGUAGUGGGGGACUGCAUUUGUUCUUUCUCCUA